AAAGGCCCUGCCUCCUUAUACCAUCACACUGGGGGGUUAGGGUUGCAGCAUAUGAAUUGGAAACUAGGGAACACAUUUUGUCUAUGGUACUAACCCACAUCCAAUUCAUGAGCAAAUCCAUAGGCUCCACCUUCAACAUUUAUUCAGAAGUUAACUUUGAUCACCACCUCCACAGCCACCAUCUUAGUCCAGGACAUCAUCAUCUCUUACUUGGAUUAUUGCAGUAGCUUAACUUGUCUCCCUGACUGUGCCAUUUCUAAGGCAGUCUGUUCUCAACCCAGCAGCUCUUCUGUCAGUUUGCCAGGACUUAGACUUCUAUGAAUCCAUGAAUGUGGGCUGGCUCUGCGAACACUGCUGUGAAGGCUACAUUUUUUGCGGACCACCUAGGCACAGUUCUGGAGGCGAGCAAGUCCAAGAUCAAAGCACUGGCAGCUUCUUUGAGGGUCUGUUCCAGUGAAAGCAUCUUCUUGCAACAACAUCCUCACAUGACAGAGGGGGGAAGGGCAACAGGACAUGAAUGCUGUGCCCUCACCUGGUGAAGAGAGGAAGAGCAAAAGGGUCUCAGCUAGCUCCCUCCAGCCCUUUUCUAAGGUGCUAAUUCAUUCAUGAGUUAACCACUUCCCAAAAGGCCCUACUUCUCACUACUACCACAAUGGGGAUUAAGUUUCAACGCAUGAAUUUGGGGGGACAUUGAAACCACAGCAUCUCU